CUCUUUUUCUCUCUCCAUCUCUCUGUCUUUCUCUCCCUUUUCUGUACUUUUUUCUUUCCCACUCUCUGCUUCCUCUUUCUCCUCCUUAUUCUCUUGUUCUUUUGCUAUCUCUCAAUUCUUGUCCUUCUCCUUCUAAGGCCUCUCUUCACCCUUUGUCUUUUUCUUUCUCCUUCUUUUUUCCCUCUCUCUUCCUAUCCCCCUUUUCUUCUUUCCUCUGUAUUUCUCUGCCUCUCUCUUUUCUACUCUCUCUUCUUCUCUCUAGCCCUGCUGCCCAUCUUUUUUCUUUUUUCUGUCUCCCUUUCUGUUUUUCUUUCUUCUUUCCCAUGUCUUUCUCUCUUUCCCUCUCUCCCUUCUCUUUUUCUCCUAUCUUUUCUUUCUCUCUUUUUUCCUGCCUCUUAAUUCUCACCUUUUUCCUUCUCUCUACUGCUUCUCCCCACCCUCUCUUUCUCUUCUCUUUUUGUCUCAUUUCUCUCUCCCUGUUUCUCCUCUUUUUCUCAUCUUCUUUCCUACUCAUUCUUUAUUUCUCUCCUUUUCCCUUCUCUACUCUCUCUCUCUAUCCAUACUCCCCAUGUUCUGUCUUUUUUUGUCUGUUUUUCUCCUCUUUCUCUGUUCUUUCUCUCUUUACCUCUCUCUCUCUAUCCAUACUCCCCAUGUUCUGUCUUUUUUUGUCUGUUUUUCUCCUCUUUCUCUGUUCUUUCUCUCUUUACCUCUCUCUCCCCUUCUCUUUUUGUCCCUUCUUUUCUUCCUUACUCUCUAUUAUUCUGUUUCUCUAUUCUCGCCUUUAUCCUUCUAAGGUCUCUCUUCACCCCCUGUCAUUUUCUUUCUCUCUCAUUUCUCUAUCUUCCUCUUUCUUCACUUUCUCUUUCUAUCCCCCUUUUCUUCCUUUAUCUUUAUUUCUCUUCUUCUCCCUUUUCGACUCUUCUUCUCUCUAGCCCUCCUGCCUAUCUUCUGUCUUGUUCUUCUGUCUCUGUGUUUUUUCUCUCCUCUUUCCCACUUCUUUCUCUCUUUAA
rnacentral:lncRNA from 1 species